UAAUUUAUAUUUUAAUUAAGAUUAUUAGAAAUUUAUUUUUUAGUUAUGAUUGGGGUGAUUUUUAAAGAUUAUUAAUCUUUAAAAUUUUUUAAUAAAAAAGUUCCAUUAGUAGUGAUUUUUUGAUAAAAAUACUCUAGGGAUAACAGCGUUAUUAUUUUGGAUAGUUCAUAUAGAUAAAAUAGUUUGCGACCUCGAUGUUGGAUUAGGAUUCUUUUAUGAUGAAGAAGUUAUAAGGGAGAAGUUUGCUCAACUUUUAAAGUCCUACUUGAUCUGAGUUCAACCCGGG
rnacentral:rRNA from 1 species